GAUGAACGCUGGCGGCGUGCCUAAUACAUGCAAGUCGAGCGAACAGACGAGGAGCUUGCUCCUCUGACGUUAGCGGCGGACGGGUGAGUAACACGUGGAUAACCUACCUAUAAGACUGGGAUAACUUCGGGAAACCGGAGCUAAUACCGGAUAAUAUAUUGAACCGCAUGGUUCAAUAGUGAAAGACGGUUUUGCUGUCACUUAUAGAUGGAUCCGCGCCGCAUUAGCUAGUUGGUAAGGUAACGGCUUACCAAGGCAACGAUGCGUAGCCGACCUGAGAGGGUGAACGGCCACACUGGAACUGAGACACGGUCCAGACUCCGACGGGAGGCAGCAGUAGGGAAUCUUCCGCAAUGGGCGAAAGCUUGACGGAGCAACGCCACGUGAGUGAUGAAGGUCUUCGGAUCGUAAAACUCUGUUAUUAGGGAAGAACAAAUGUGUAAGUAACUAUGCACGUCUUGACGGUACCUAAUCAGAAAGCCACGGCUAACUACGU
rnacentral:rRNA from 1 species